rnacentral:tmRNA from 1 species
GGGGAUGAUCGGCUUCGAUAAAGAUCCGUCCCAAGCUGGCGAGUCGAGCGUGACCUCGCAAACUCACAAAACAAAUUAACUGACAACCAACGAGUUGCAGCUCCUGCUUUCGCUUUCGCGUAAGCAAGAGGAUCGGUUAACCUGGGCUUCUUAGGUUAAAAUCCGGUCUUAUAUAAGGAAGCUAGUUUCAUAAAAAUCGCUUUGUGUUUUAUGAAAUGAAAAUUAGCAAAGCACCUUUGCCUAGUUUCACUAGACUACACUCGUAGAAGGUUUGCGGUUCGUCUCUUUACACGCGGGUUCGAUUCCCGCCAUCUCCACAG